GUUUUGUUAUAGCUCAAGCCCGACCAAAAAAAUACAUGGGCUCCAAUCUCCUAACCCACCCGAAACCCAAAAGAAAUAAACACAGAUUCAUUUCCAAAACCCAACCAAAAAAAAAAAAUCUUGGCCCAUUAGAGAAAUAAAUAUUAGCCCAAUUCUUUUUUUCUUUUUCCUCCCUUUUUCUUUCUUCUUCUUUCUUCUUCCUCACCGUCCGUUUCUUCUUCUUCUUGCCUGGCCAGCUGAAGCUUCUUCAGCUGGCGACCAUGGCGGCCGCCGACAACUUCUUCGGUCGCCAAAAUUCCUCAAAAUGCACCUCCCCACUCCAUUUUUCGCGUAGGUUCCAUUUCCGGAGUUAAUUUUUAUAAAAGAUGACCUGAAGGUAGCCGAAAAGCAAAAAGCCAGUCCAGUUUUUUUUU
rnacentral:lncRNA from 1 species